rnacentral:rRNA from 1 species
UACGUAGGGGGCAAGCGUUGUCCGGAUUUAUUGGGCGUAAAGAGCGUGUAGGCGGCCAUGUAGGUCCGGUGUGAAAACUCGAGGCUUAACCUCGAGAUGUCAUCGGAAACCAUUUGGCUAGAGUCCGGAAGAGGAGAGUGGAAUUCCUGGUGUAGCGGUGAAAUGCGCAGAUAUCAGGAAGAACACCAAUGGCGAAAGCAGCUCUCUGGGACGGUACUGACGCUGAGGCGCGAAAGCGUGGGGAGCGAACAGG